AUGGCCCCCAACAGAGCUCCGGGACCAGAUAAUAUUCCUGUGGAGUUUCGUCAAGCCUGUUGGGAGAUUGUGAAGGGGGAUAUCAUGUUCUUAAUUAAACAUUUCCAUAAUGGGACGCUGGAUGUUCAACGUCUCAACUAUGGGGUGAUUACACUCCUGCCCAAGGUUUCUGGUGCUGAUAAAAUUCAGCAGUUUAGACCUAUCGGCCUCCUUAGAUGCCCAUACAAACUAAUUACCAAAGCCAUGGAUCGUAGGGUUGAAAAAUAUGCUGACAAAAUGAUCAGCCCCACCCAGAAUGCUUUUGUGAAAGGGAGAAAUAUCAUGGAUGGGGUGUUAUCUCUGCAUGAAAUCCUUAACUACACCCAUGUUAAAAAGAGGGUGGGUAUUGCGUUGAAACUGGACUUUGAAAAGGCCUAUGACGAAGUUAUUUGGGACUUCCUUUUGGAAUGUCAUAGACUUCGAGGCUUUAGUGAAGCCUGGUGUGGUUGGGUUAAACAAAUUCUACACAAUGGCACGGUUAGUAUCAAACUCAAUAACUGUGUAGGGCCAUACUUUCAGAGUGCUAAAGGGGUCUGA
rnacentral:rRNA from 1 species